rnacentral:rRNA from 1 species
AGUCGUAACAAGGUAACCGUAGGUGAACCUGCGGUUGGAUCAUUAAUAAAUUUUAGAGCAGUGCAGGGGUCGGCUUUAAACGGCUGCUCUCUGUCUGUUUCUUAACAUUUUGUGAAUCGUUUAUUGUCUCUUGCGGUUGGAGGCUUUUGUUUACUCAAGGGUCAACUCCGCAUGUAACUCUUAACAUUGUAUUAAAUAUUUGCCUUUAAACUUAAACAUAAAAAUUUAAAAACAACUUUUGACAACGGAUCUCUAGGCUCUCGCAACGAUGAAGAACGCAGCGAAAUGCGAUAAGUAAUGUGAAUUGCAGAUUCCGUGAAUCAUUAAAUCUUUGAACGCACAUUGCGCCCUCUGGUAUUCCUCAGGGCAUGUCUGUUUGAGAAUCAGUUUAAACAUCAAAACUUGGCUUUGGGCGUUAAACGCUUGAGCCUUGGAUUGGACUUGGGUUGUUAUUUGCGCAAGCAGAUCUACCUUAAUUUCAUUUGUGGCCUCGAUAAACACAACUCGAUUAUGGAAGGCAUGACCAUUGAACGCAAGUUCUUAAUGAUUGCUGAUAAAAUAACCCUGACCUGUGCUUAGCGUAGACCCAGAUAACACUUACACAAAGUGCGGCUAGAAACCAAUCUUUAAGACUUGAUCUCAAAUCAGAUAAGACUACCCGCUGAACUUAAGCAUAUCAUAAGCGGAGGAAAAGAAACUAACAAGGAUUCCCCUAGUAACGGCGAGUGAAGCGGGAAUAGCUCAAAUUUGAAAUCUCACAGGUUCCCUGUGCGAAUUGUAGUUUAAAGAAGUAUUUUCGAAGACAACCUAAGCAUAAGUCCUUUGGAACAGGGCAUCAUAGAGGGUGAGAAUCCCGUACAUGGUUUAGUGGUGUCUUUAUGUGAUAUACUCUCUAAGAGUCGGAUUGUUUGGGAAUGCAGUCCAAAAUGGGUGGUAAAUACCAUCUAAGGCUAAAUAUUGGCGAGAGACCGAUAGCGAACAAGUACCGUGAGGGAAAGAUGAAAAGAACUUUGAAAAGAGAGUUAAAUAGUACGUGAAAUUGUCAAAAGGGAAACACUUGAAACCAGUCUUGUUCGUAGAAUCCCAACUAGCCUCACGGUUAGCACAUGUUUCUACGCACAGGUCAACAUCGGUUUUGACUGGAGUACAAAGCUGGUUGAAGGUAGCUCUCUCGAGGGUGUUAUAGCUUCCAGUAAUGCUCUGGUCAGGACCGAGGAUUGCAGUGUAGCCUUGGGGACCCGUUCGCCAGUUGAAUACUCUGCUAGACAACUUGUUGAUUAGUAGAGGGCUAAGAUUGCUCGGGCGGUAUACCACACCUACACUUAGGAUGUUGACAAAAUGGUUUUAAAUGACC